rnacentral:rRNA from 1 species
UGAGGAAUAUUGGUCAAUGGGCGAGAGCCUGAACCAGCCAAGUCGCGUGAAGGAAGACUGCCUUAUGGGUUGUAAACUUCUUUUAUACAGGAAUAAAAAGGCUUACGUGUAGGCCAUUGCAAGUACUGUAUGAAUAAGCAUCGGCUAACUCCGUGCCAGCAGCCGCGGUAAUACGGAGGAUGCGAGCGUUAUCCGGAUUUAUUGGGUUUAAAGGGUGCGCAGGCGGGCUUUUAAGUCAGCGGUGAAAUCUGGACGCUUAACGUCCAAACUGCCGUUGAAACUGGGAGUCUUGAGUAUGGAUGAAGUAGGCGGAAUUCGUUGUGUAGCGGUGACAUGCAUAGAUAUAACGAGGAACUCCGAUUGCGUAGGCAGCUUACUAAGCCAUAACUGACGCUCAUGCACGAAAGCGUGGGGAUCAAACAGGAUUAGAUACCCUGGUAGUCCACGCCGUAAAACGAUGAUUACUAGUUGUAUGCGAUAUGAUAGUAUGUGACUAAGCGAAAGCGAUAAGUAAUCCACCUGGGGAGUACGCCGGCAACGGUGAAACUCAAAGGAAUUGACGGGGUCAUAGCUG